rfam:Ceriporiopsis subvermispora B unplaced genomic scaffold CERSTscaffold_19, whole genome shotgun sequence.
GGCCGACUGGCGAAAUGGCAUCGCGUCUGACUACGACUUUGUUGUAAUAUCAGGAGAUUGCAGGUUCGACCCCUGCGUCGGUCA